rnacentral:rRNA from 1 species
UCGGAGAUAGCUGGUUCUCCCCGAAAUAUAUUUAGGUAUAGCCUCAGGAAUUUUCUCCGGGAGGUAGAGCACUGAAUGGGCUAGGGGCCUUACCCGGUUACCGAACCCAAUCAAACUCCGAAUGCCCGAGAGAUGGACCCUGGGAGUCAGUGGGCGAGCGAUAAUGUCCGUCCGCGAGAGGGAAAGAACCCAGACCGUCAGCUAAGGCCCCAAAGUGUGUGCUAAGUGAGAAAGGAUGUGAAUUUGCAGAGACAACUAGGAGGUUGGCUUAGAAGCAGCCAUUCCUUUGAAGAGUGCGUAAUAGCUCACUAGUCAAGUGGAUUUGCGCCGAUAAUGGUCGGGACUCAAGCACACCGCCGAAGCUACGGAUGGAACGCCUCUUAGGAGGCGAAACAUGGUAGGGGAGCGUUCCCUGGGCGUUGAAGCGGACCUGUAAGGGCUUCCGUGGAGCGCAGGGAAGAGAGUAUGUCGGAAUGAGUAGCGAGAAACAAAGUGAGAAUCUUUGUCACCGAAAGCCUAAGGGUUCCGGAGCCAGGCUUAUCCGCUCCGGGUUAGUCGGUCCCUAAGUCGAGGCCGAAAGGCGUAGGCGAUGGGAAACAGGUCAACAUUCCUGUACCGUAAUGUGCGCGUUUGACCCUAAGGGGGGACGCAGAAGUGAAAGGACCGUCGGGUGGUGGAUUUCCGAUGUAAGGUGGUAGGCGUUGAGGAGUAGGCAAAUCCGCUCCUUUAGCCGAGAACCGAUGCCGAAGGGGCUUUCGAGCCCCGCAAAGGGUCCGUAAUCAGGCUGCCAAGAAAAGCCUCGUAGGGAAGUUCACAUUGCGACCGUACCGUAAACGGACACACGUAGGCGAGGCGAGAAGCCUAAGGUGCUCGAGUGAAUUGUGGAGAAGGAACUCGGCAAAUUGACCCCGUAACUUCGGAAGAAGGGGUGCCAGCGGUAGGUGAACCCACUUGCUGGGGGAGCCGAAACUGGCCGCAGAGAAUCGGCCCAGGCGACUGUUUAGCAAAAACAUAGGUGUCUGCUAAGUCGCUGAGACGACGUAUAGGCACUGACGCCUGCCCGGUGCCGGAAGGUUAAAUGGAGGGGUUAGCUUCGGCGAAGCUCUGAAAUGAAGCCCCGGUAAACGGCGGCCGUAACUAUAACGGUCCUAAGGUAGCGAAAUUCCUUGUCGGGUAAGUUCCGACCUGCACGAAUGGCGUAACGAUCUGGGCGCUGUCUCCUCCACAAGCUCGGCGAAAUUGGAGUCUCGGUGAGGAUACCGAGUACCCGCGACAGGACAAAAAGACCCCGUGCACCUUUACUACAACCUGCUAUUGGGCAUUGGUACUACAUGUGUAGCAUAGGUGGGAGACUUUGAAGCGGCCGCGCUAGCGGUCGUGGAGUCAUUAGUGAAAUACCACCCUUGUGAUAUUGAUGCUCUAACCCAGGGAUGUGAAUCCAUCCCGGGGACCGUGGCAGGCGGGUAGUUUGACUGGGGCGGUCGCCUCCCA